CCUACGGGUCGCAGCAGUGGGGAAUAUUGCACAAUGGGCGCGAGCCUGAUGCAGCCAUGCCGCGUGUAUGAAGAAGGCCUUCGGGUUGUAAAGUACCUUCAGCGGGGAGGAAGGCGAUAAGGUUAAUAACCUUGUCGAUUGACGUUACCCGCAGAAGAAGCACCGGCUAACUCCGUGCCAGCAGCCGCGGUAAUACGGAGGGUGCAAGCGUUAAUCGGAAUUACUGGGCGUAAAGCGCACGCGGGCGGUCUGUCAAGUCGGAUGUGAAAUCCCCGGGCUCAACCUGGGAACUGCAUUCGAAACUGGCAGGCUAGAGUCUUGUAGAGGGGGGUAGAAUUCCAGGUGUAGCGGUGAAAUGCGUAGAGAUCUGGAGGAAUACUGGUGGCGAAGGCGGCCCCCUGGACAAAGACUGACGCUCAGGUGCGAAAGCGUGGGGAGCAAACAGGAUUAGAUACCCGCGUAGUC
rnacentral:rRNA from 1 species